rnacentral:rRNA from 1 species
AACGAACGCUGGCGGCAUGCCUAACACAUGCAAGUCGAACGAGACCUUCGGGUCUAGUGGCGCACGGGUGCGUAACGCGUGGGAACCUGCCCUUAGGUUCGGAAUAACUCCCCGAAAGAGGUGCUAAUACCGGAUAAUGUCUUCGGACCAAAGAUUUAUCGCCUUUGGAUGGGCCCGCGUUGGAUUAGCUAGUUGGUAGGGUAAAAGCCUACCAAGGCGACGAUCCAUAGCUGGUCUGAGAGGAUGAUCAGCCACACUGGGACUGAGACACGGCCCAGACUCCUACGGGAGGCAGCAGUGGGGAAUAUUGGACAAUGGGCGAAAGCCUGAUCCAGCAAUGCCGCGUGAGUGAUGAAGGCCUUAGGGUUGUAAAGCUCUUUUACCCGGGAUGAUAAUGACAGUACCGGGAGAAUAAGCUCCGGCUAACUCCGUG